AUCCCAUGAUGUGGACAUCUUCUCAGUAGUUCUCUAAACCUCUCUCAAGCUUCACACAAGGACUCACCAUUAAAUUGUGUGAAUGAGGUGAUAUUGUUCCCAUCUUU
rfam:Theobroma cacao cultivar Matina 1-6 chromosome 1, whole genome shotgun sequence.